rnacentral:piRNA from 1 species
UGCAACAAAUCACUACAAACUCCACGG